UGAGUCCACCCUAGGGGUCACUUACAAUAAACACAUUUUCCCUCAUCUUUCAAUUGGUGGAAUAUGGGAAACCACUUCACAGUGCUUCAGCCCCAAAGACUUUGAGGACAUGUAUGGACCUCACCUAAUUAAUUAGCAUAUGAACAGCAUGAACACAAUUCUAUAAGCAUGACUUAUCAUAGACAGCCAUGGAUAUGCUGAAGCUUGUAACAGUACACAAGAAUGCAUUCCCUGAUACAGAUGGAGAUAUAUAUAGAGAGAGACACUUGCUUACUGCUAUUGCUAAUGUUGGCUCAGGUGGUUUAUUUUCUCUGGGCAUCUUACCCACUAAAAUACCCAUUCACCUCCCUAACUCUGAGAAAAUCCCAUACCACAGACACAGGGAACUUUAAUACCCCACAAUACUAAAGUUGUGUGUGAUUAACAGCCCCUGUGCCCUGUUCCAAGGCAUUCAUCACAUCCUGAGGCACAAAUCUCUGUGGGGUACAACUUUAAAAAGAGAUCGAGUUUCAUGCCUGUGCCUUGGAGAUCAUUUCUUGAUCUAUGUGAUAGACAUUUGCCCCACUUCCAUACCUACUCUGUACCCCACAAGGCAUUAAAGUUCUCAAAUGUUCUGACCUGGACCUGGAACGUAGCUCCCCAAAGAGCAGACAUGCAGUUCUCCAGCAGACUGGUUGGAGCAUGGUCUCAGGUGAGUCAGUCCCAGGCUGGAGGCCAAGGACAAUAGUGUCUGUUGGCCCCACUCUCACACAAUGGAGCUUCUUACCAGAAUAUCUUAGCCUCCCUUGAUCCCUGAACCCGUGGGGACUCACUUUUUCUAUGUGUUAUAGUGUGUUAAAACCAGGCACAGCAUUAAGGCAUGGUAGUGACAACACAUGUCUAGCACAACCCCUCCUGAAGGUGGCUCCCCAUGGACUCUGCAAGCCAUCUAUUCUCAACAUAUUGUACCAUCUUGGAGCUGAUCACACUGAGAAAGUGCACAGAACAAGGGCAGGAGCAGGUGCUGGAUCCCACAGAGACUUUUUCUACCCUCCUUUUCCACUCCAAUCUUCCUUGGAACUUUGAAUGGAAUCAAAGGAGGAGGCACUGCAUGUGUAGCUGCCCAAAGUCUAGAUGUCACUGUUCUCUGCUGUCACCCAAAAGGAGUGAACAGCACCCAGACAGGAGAUGGCCCAAGGCUUACAUGUGUAUAACGUGCCACUGUCUCAGGGACUGACUCUCAGGAAAGUAUUAGUGAUACUUUGACAUGAAUGGCACUGAAACAGCUGGUUGCUCUGGGUAUCCUGAACAUUGUAACAACAUGAAUUCUUCCCAUCCACCAUCACAGUGUGUCUUUUCUUCUGUUAGUGCCAUUUCACUCAUUGCAUCAGUUUCUACAGUUUUUAAAGGAAAGGU